rnacentral:rRNA from 1 species
ACGGAGGGAGCAAGCGUUGUCCGGAAUCACUGGGCGUAAAGAGCUCGUAGGCGGGAGCUUAAGUCUGAGCGUAAAUCCACCGGCUUAACCGGUGAGCCAUCUCAGAUACUGGGCUUCUUGAGGAUAGGAGGGGAAAGGGGAAUUCCUGGUGUAGCGGUGAAAUGCGUAGAUAUCAGGAGGAACACCUGUGGCGAAGGCGCCUUUCUGGACUAUUCCUGACGCUGAGGAGCGAAAGCCAGGGGAGCGAACGG